GACCCAAUAGCACACGGUUAGUGCACUUGCUUUCAGUUACGUGAUAGAGUUUCAGGCAAGAGGUCCCCGUUCGAUCCGGGGUUGGGUCA